CUUAGGCACCCAGGCCAAGCCCUGUCCCUGCGCUUCGGAAACGGCUCAGAGAAGCAGAGAUUCCAACAGAAGGACGCAGGCAUCCCCGCCCUGGGGCGCCCUGGCACCCAGGGAACUAAAGAAGACAGAACCUCUGGCCCCGCCUGCUCUGCUCUGCGGCAACCUGCCUCUCGGUCCUCUGCUCUCGCGGAAGCCAGCCACCAGCCACCAGCCACCAGCCACCGCCGCCAGGGUGAGCCAGCUGGAGCUGCAGCAGGAGGGGUUGCCGAGGACGGCAGCAGCACUUCCCGCUGGGAGAGGGCCAGCGAGCAGGAGCAGAGGCUGUGAGGAGGCCCGCAGCCCUGCUCCCCCCCACCCCAGGAAGGUCUCCGCCUCCCCAACCUGGGGCUCGGCCUCACCCCAAAACACACCGCCCCCCCGCCCCGCCUCUCUGGCUCUGGCCCUCUGUCCCGUGCCCUCCUCUCUCUGUCCCUGACUAUCCUUGGAACCUCCCAGGCCCACCGACCCCCAGCUCCCCCAGCCUGGUUGUCCCUCGGUGUCCCCCACCCAGGCACUCAGGUUCCAGACCCCUCUCAGCACCUCUUCUCUCUCAGCCUGUCUCCCCAUCUGCUGGACAAUGGGCUUGGGGGGGCAGUACCCUGGGGACCUUGGCCGACUCUGGGAGCCCCUGUGUCAGGGACACUGCCCCUAAAGCCCUCCGGAGCAACUGUCCCUUGGGCGACGCUGGCCCUUUAAGGAAGGCGGAAGGGAAGGGGGCCCAGGGAGCCUUUAAUCACUGCCACACACCCCGCCCCCCAGAUAGGGGUUUUGGAGCAGAAAAUUAAUUUAAAUCACUUUUUAAUUAAAGAUGCA